rnacentral:rRNA from 1 species
UACGGAGGGUGCGAGCGUUGUCCGGAAUCAUUGGGCGUAAAGGGCGCGUAGGUGGCCCGGUCAGUCUUUGGUGAAAGCGCGGGGCUCAACCCUGCGUCGGCCAGGGAUACUGCCGCGGCUCGAGCACUGUAGAGGCAGGCGGAAUUCCGGGUGGUAGCGGUGGAAUGCGUAGAGAUCGGGAGGAACAUCUGUGGCGAAGGCGGCCAUCUGGACCAGCACUGACACUGAGGCACGAAAGCGUGGGGAGCAAACAGG